GUAGGGAAUUUUCGGCAAUGGGGGAAACCCUGACCGAGCGACGCCGCGUGAGGGAUGAAGGCCUUCGGGUUGUAAACCUCUGUCUUCGGGGACGAUGAUGACGGUACCCGAGGAGGAAGCCACGGCUAACUACGUGCCAGCAGCCGCGGUAAGACGUAGGUGGCAAGCGUUGUCCGGAAUUAUUGGGCGUAAAGGGCGUGUAGGCGGCCUGUUAAGUCAGACGUGAAAUCCCCGGGCUCAACCUAGGGACUGCGUUUGAUACUGAUGGGCUUGAGGACAGGAGAGGAAAGUGGAACUCCGUGUGUAGCGGUGAAAUGCUCAGAUAUACGGAAGAACACCAGUGGCGAAGGCGACUUUCUGGACUGUCCCUGACGCUGAGGCGCGAAAGCCAGGGGAGCGAACGGGAUUAGAAACCCCUGUAGUCC
rnacentral:rRNA from 1 species